CCUACGGGAGGCUGCAGUGGGGAAUAUUGGACAAUGGGCGAAAGCCUGAUCCAGCCAUGCCGCGUGUGUGAAGAAGGCCUUCGGGUUGUAAAGCACUUUCAGUGGGGAAGAAAGCCUUGGGGCUAAUACCCUCGAGGAAGGACAUCACCCACAGAAGAAGCACCGGCUAACUCCGUGCCAGCAGCCGCGGUAAUACGGAGGGUGCGAGCGUUAAUCGGAAUUACUGGGCGUAAAGCGCGCGUAGGCGGUCUGAUAAGCCGGUUGUGAAAGCCCCGGGCUCAACCUGGGAACGGCAUCCGGAACUGUCAGGCUAGAGUGCAGGAGAGGAAGGUAGAAUUCCCGGUGUAGCGGUGAAAUGCGUAGAGAUCGGGAGGAAUACCAGUGGCGAAGGCGGCAUUCUGGACUGACACUGACGCUGAGGUGCGAAAGCGUGGGUAGCAAACAGGAUUAGAUACCUAGUAGU
rnacentral:rRNA from 1 species